UCCAGGGUAGCCUAGUGGACAUGGCACCUGUCCGGUAAGCAGAAGGUUGUGGGUUCGAUUCCCGCCCCUGGAC